CGGCGGACGGGUGAGUAACACGUGGAUAACCUACCUAUAAGACUGGGAUAACUCGGGAAACCGGAGCUAAUACCGGAUAAUAUAUUGAACCGCAUGGUUCAAUAGUGAAAGACGGUUUUGCUGUCACUUAUAGAUGGAUCCGCGCCGCAUUAGCUAGUUGGUAAGGUAACGGCUUACCAAGGCAACGAUGCGUAGCCGACCUGAGAGGGUGAUCGGCCACACUGGAACUGAGACACGGUCCAGACUCCUACGGGAGGCAGCAGGC
rnacentral:rRNA from 1 species